UACAUAGGUCUCAAGCGUUGUUCGGAUUCAUUGGGCGUAAAGGGUGCGUAGGUGGCGCUGUAAGUCAGGUGUGAAAUUUCGGAGCUUAACUCCGAAACUGCAUUUGAUACUGCGGUGCUUGAGGACUGGAGAGGAGACUGGAAUUUACGGUGUAGCAGUGAAAUGCGUAGAGAUCGUAAGGAAGACCAGUGGCGAAGGCGGGUCUCUGGACAGUUCCUGACACUGAGGCACGAAGGCCAGGGGAGCAAACGGG
rnacentral:rRNA from 1 species